CGCACCACCAUCAUACCCGCAUCACUUCCAUUACUUCUCAUCAGGAAAAAAAAGAGCACCAUAACAAAAUUAUUGAGGAUGUUUUGAAAAUUUAAUUUCACAUUACCGGUAAUCUGAUUGUCACACCAAAUAUGUUAAUCAAUAUUUUUAGUAAUUUUACUACAAUAUUACCUAUAUAUACCAAACACAAUAAUCAAUAUUACUGGCAAUCUAUCAUGAAGGUAAUCC
rnacentral:lncRNA from 1 species